rnacentral:rRNA from 1 species
AGAGUUUGAUCCUGGCUCAGGACGAACGCUGGCGGCGUGCCUAACACAUGCAAGUCGAACGGAGAAUUUCAAUAAGUUUACUUAGAGAAAUUUUUAGUGGCGGACGGGUGAGUAACGCGUGGGUAACCUACCCAUAAAGCCGGGACAACCCUUGGAAGCGAGGGCUAAUACCGGAUAAUCUUAAGGCUUGGCAUCAAGGUUUAAGGAAAGGUGGCCUCUGAAAAUGCUACCGAUUAUGGAUGGACCCGCGUCUGAUUAGCUAGUUGGUGGGGUAAAGGCCUACCAAGGCGACGAUCAGUAGCCGGCCUGAGAGGGUGAACGGCCACACUGGGACUGAGACACGGCCCAGACUCCUACGGGAGGCAGCAGUGGGGAAUCUUCCGCAAUGGACGAAAGUCUGACGGAGCAACGCCGCGUGUAUGAUGAAGGUCUUCGGA